GGAACACUCACAAUCGAUCUAUCAGCAGCAGCAGCAGCAGUUUCUUCUGGAAUCAUGUAAUCCGGAUCCUCCGAGCUGGCAACUUCUUCCGGUAACUCCUCUUCAACCCAUGUUGACCAGUCCACUUCACUAUCGCUUUCCCAUGAAAUCUCUUUGCUUCUUUUCAUCGAAUUGAUUUUCUCCGUCAAUGUCAGGAUCAUGUGAUGAUUCAAUACUUCAUAGUCCCUGUAUGUGUAAAUGGCAUAAAGGAUCUGAAGAAUCGCCAGGAAAGCAAAUAGCAGCCUCGCCAGAUUAAUCAUCCAGGUUUGUCGCUCUAGAUCACCACUUGGUGUAAGUCGAAUGAUUGCUACUUCCACGAGGAAUGUAGUACACAACCCUGUAAUUUGAAUGGACACAGACUAGUAAGGUUUAAGAUUUGAUGUUUAGAAUUUGAAUGAACACAGACUAGUUAGGAUACGUACCGAGAUAGAGAUUGGCUCUGACUGGGUAUGUCUGCUUUGUACUGGUAAACAUGUAGAUGAUGAAAAUUGACAUGGUGUAGAUGAAGAAAGCCUUGAUUACUCGAGAUUCGAGCAACAUUGCAUUGUGUAGUUCAAACAGCUUGUCUAGAGCAAUAAACAUGCUAGCUUGCUUCGCUUCAAAUGCUUCCUGUGCUUCCAAUAUCGAUUUUGAAUUCGAAACUAAGUGAUCAUGAACUUGCUGAAGCUGUUUCUGCCUUUGAAGAAGCUCUUCCUGCUGUUGACGACCCAAAUCAGCCAAAUGUUGCAUUGCAUUCCUGCUUUCUUGCAGUGCUACAGAUUGAGAUUUCGUCAGGCUUUCGAGACCUUUAAGCGCCAUGGACUGUCCAUCUA
rnacentral:lncRNA from 1 species